rnacentral:RNase_P_RNA from 1 species
CGGGGCGGACAGAGGGCCGCUUCCCCGGCGUAACGUCGGGGAGGAGGAACUUCCGAACUCCAAGGGCAAUGGCGCCUGCUGAAUACAUAAGCAGGGCGACUGCGGCAACAUCCGCAGCGACGGAAAGCGCAACAGAAAACAGACUACCUCCCGACGUUACGUCGGGGGGAAAAGGUGAAAAGGUGCGGUAAGAGCGCACCGUGUCGCCAGCAAUGGCGCCAGCAUGGCAAACCCCCCAGGAGCAAGGCCAAAUAUGCGCCGCAGGACUGCCCGUCCUACGCUAUGUCAUGCGGCAUAGCGUGGCGCAGAGUAGGCCGCUUAGACAAAUGGUCCUCUCACCGUGCUGUAUAGCAUGGCCAGACAGAAUUCGGGGUAUAGUCCGCCCCGCCUU